rnacentral:rRNA from 1 species
AGUGAACGCUGGCGGUAGGCCUAACACAUGCAAGUCGAACGGCAGCACAGUAAGAGCUUGCUCUUACGGGUGGCGAGUGGCGGACGGGUGAGGAAUACAUCGGAAUCUACUUUUUCGUGGGGGAUAACGUAGGGAAACUUACGCUAAUACCGCAUACGCCCUACGGGUGAAAGCAGGGGAUCUUCUGACCUUGCGCGAUUGAAUGAGCCGAUGUCGGAUUAGCUAGUUGGCGGGGUAAAGGCCCACCAAGGCGACGAUCCGUAGCUGGUCUGAGAGGAUGAUCAGCCACACUGGAACUGAGACACGGUCCAGACUCCUACGGGAGGCAGCAGUGGGGAAUAUUGGACAAUGGGCGCAAGCCUGAUCCAGCCAUACCGCGUGGGUGAAGAAGGCCUUCGGGUUGUAAAGCCCUUUUGUUGGGAAAGAAAAGCAGCAGGUUAAUACCCCGCUGUUCUGACGGUACCCAAAGAAUAAGCACCGGCUAACUUCGUG